CAGCCGCCACGGUAAUACGAAGGGUGCAAGCGUUACUCGGAAUUACUGAGCGUAAAGCGUGCGUAGGUGGUGGUUUAAGUCCGUUGUGAAAGCCCUGGGCUCAACCUGGGAAUUGCAGUGGAUACUGGGUCACUAGAGUGUGGUAGAGGAUAGUGGAAUUUCCGGUGUAGCAGUGAAAUGCGUAGAGGUCGGAAGGAACAUCUGUGGCGAAGGCGACUACCUGGGCCAACACUGACACUGAGGCACGAAAGCGUGGGGAGCAAACAGGAUUAGAUACCCCAGUAGUCCCUGUCUCUUAUAC
rnacentral:rRNA from 1 species